rnacentral:tRNA from 1 species
UCCCUGGUGGCUCAGAUGGUAAAGAAUCUGCCUGCAAUGCAGAAGACCUAGGUUCAAUCCGUGGUUUGGGAA